AACGAACGCUGGCGGCAUGCCUAACACAUGCAAGUCGAACGAGACCUUCGGGUCUAGUGGCGCACGGGUGCGUAACGCGUGGGUAUCUACCCUCAGGUUCGGAAUAACUCAGAGAAAUUUGAGCUAAUACCGGAUGAUGACGUAAGUCCAAAGAUUUAUCGCCUGAGGAUGAGCCCGCGUAGGAUUAGGUAGUUGGUGAGGUAAAGGCUCACCAAGCCGACGAUCCUUAGCUGGUCUGAGAGGAUGAUCAGCCACACUGGGACUGAGACACGGCCCAGACUCCUACGGGAGGCAGCAGUGGGGAAUAUUGGACAAUGGGCGAAAGCCUGAUCCAGCAAUGCCGCGUGAGUGAUGAAGGCCUUAGGGUUGUAAAGCUCUUUUACCCGGGAUGAUAAUGACAGUACCGGGAGAAUAAGCUCCGGCUAACUCCGUG
rnacentral:rRNA from 1 species